UUAAGCGACUAAGCGUACACGGUGGAUGCCCUGGCAGUCAGAGGCGAUGAAGGACGUUCUAAUCUGCGAUAAGCGUCGGUAAGGUGAUAUGAACCGUUAUAACCGGCGAUUUCCGAAUGGGGAAACCCAGUGUGUUUCGACACACUAUCAUUAACUGAAUCCAUAGGUUAAUGAGGCGAACCGGGGGAACUGAAACAUCUAAGUACCCCGAGGAAAAGAAAUCAACCGAGAUUCCCCCAGUAGCGGCGAGCGAACGGGGAGGAGCCCAGAGCCUGAAUCAGUGUGUGUGUUAGUGGAAGCGUCUGGAAAGGCGCGCGAUACAGGGUGACAGCCCCGUACACAAAAAUGCACAUGCUGUGAGCUCGAUGAGUAGGGCGGGACACGUGGUAUCCUGUCUGAAUAUGGGGGGACCAUCCUCCAAGGCUAAAUACUCCUGACUGACCGAUAGUGAACCAGUACCGUGAGGGAAAGGCGAAAAGAACCCCGGCGAGGGGAGUGAAAAAGAACCUGAAACCGUGUACGUACAAGCAGUGGGAGCACGCUUAGGCGUGUGACUGCGUACCUUUUGUAUAAUGGGUCAGCGACUUAUAUUCUGUAGCAAGGUUAACCGAAUAGGGGAGCCGAAGGGAAACCGAGUCUUAACUGGGCGUUAAGUUGCAGGGUAUAGACCCGAAACCCGGUGAUCUAGCCAUGGGCAGGUUGAAGGUUGGGUAACACUAACUGGAGGACCGAACCGACUAAUGUUGAAAAAUUAGCGGAUGACUUGUGGCUGGGGGUGAAAGGCCAAUCAAACCGGGAGAUAGCUGGUUCUCCCCGAAAGCUAUUUAGGUAGCGCCUCGUGAACUCAUCUCCGGGGGUAGAGCACUGUUUCGGCAAGGGGGUCAUCCCGACUUACCAACCCGAUGCAAACUGCGAAUACCGGAGAAUGUUAUCACGGGAGACACACGGCGGGUGCUAACGUCCGUCGUGAAGAGGGAAACAACCCAGACCGCCAGCUAAGGUCCCAAAGUCAUGGUUAAGUGGGAAACGAUGUGGGAAGGCCCAGACAGCCAGGAUGUUGGCUUAGAAGCAGCCAUCAUUUAAAGAAAGCGUAAUAGCUCACUGGUCGAGUCGGCCUGCGCGGAAGAUGUAACGGGGCUAAACCAUGCACCGAAGCUGCGGCAGCGACGCUGAUGCGUUGUUGGGUAGGGGAGCGUUCUGUAAGCCUGUGAAGGUGUGCUGUGAGGCAUGCUGGAGGUAUCAGAAGUGCGAAUGCUGACAUAAGUAACGAUAAAGCGGGUGAAAAGCCCGCUCGCCGGAAGACCAAGGGUUCCUGUCCAACGUUAAUCGGGGCAGGGUGAGUCGACCCCUAAGGCGAGGCCGAAAGGCGUAGUCGAUGGGAAACAGGUUAAUAUUCCUGUACUUGGUGUUACUGCGAAGGGGGGACGGAGAAGGCUAUGUUGGCCGGGCGACGGUUGUCCCGGUUUAAGCGUGUAGGCUGGUUUUCCAGGCAAAUCCGGAAAAUCAAGGCUGAGGCGUGAUGACGAGGCACUACGGUGCUGAAGCAACAAAUGCCCUGCUUCCAGGAAAAGCCUCUAAGCAUCAGGUAACAUCAAAUCGUACCCCAAACCGACACAGGUGGUCAGGUAGAGAAUACCAAGGCGCUUGAGAGAACUCGGGUGAAGGAACUAGGCAAAAUGGUGCCGUAACUUCGGGAGAAGGCACGCUGAUAUGUAGGUGAAGUCCCUCGCGGAUGGAGCUGAAAUCAGUCGAAGAUACCAGCUGGCUGCAACUGUUUAUUAAAAACACAGCACUGUGCAAACACGAAAGUGGACGUAUACGGUGUGACGCCUGCCCGGUGCCGGAAGGUUAAUUGAUGGGGUCAGCGCAAGCGAAGCUCUUGAUCGAAGCCCCGGUAAACGGCGGCCGUAACUAUAACGGUCCUAAGGUAGCGAAAUUCCUUGUCGGGUAAGUUCCGACCUGCACGAAUGGCGUAAUGAUGGCCAGGCUGUCUCCACCCGAGACUCAGUGAAAUUGAACUCGCUGUGAAGAUGCAGUGUACCCGCGGCAAGACGGAAAGACCCCGUGAACCUUUACUAUAGCUUGACACUGAACAUUGAGCCUUGAUGUGUAGGAUAGGUGGGAGGCUUAGAAGUGUGGACGCCAGUCUGCAUGGAGCCGACCUUGAAAUACCACCCUUUAAUGUUUGAUGUUCUAACGUUGACCCGUAAUCCGGGUUGCGGACAGUGUCUGGUGGGUAGUUUGACUGGGGCGGUCUCCUCCUAAAGAGUAACGGAGGAGCACGAAGGUUGGCUAAUCCUGGUCGGACAUCAGGAGGUUAGUGCAAUGGCAUAAGCCAGCUUGACUGCGAGCGUGACGGCGCGAGCAGGUGCGAAAGCAGGUCAUAGUGAUCCGGUGGUUCUGAAUGGAAGGGCCAUCGCUCAACGGAUAAAAGGUACUCCGGGGAUAACAGGCUGAUACCGCCCAAGAGUUCAUAUCGACGGCGGUGUUUGGCACCUCGAUGUCGGCUCAUCACAUCCUGGGGCUGAAGUAGGUCCCAAGGGUAUGGCUGUUCGCCAUUUAAAGUGGUACGCGAGCUGGGUUUAGAACGUCGUGAGACAGUUCGGUCCCUAUCUGCCGUGGGCGCUGGAGAACUGAGGGGGGCUGCUCCUAGUACGAGAGGACCGGAGUGGACGCAUCACUGGUGUUCGGGUUGUCAUGCCAAUGGCACUGCCCGGUAGCUAAAUGCGGAAGAGAUAAGUGCUGAAAGCAUCUAAGCACGAAACUUGCCCCGAGAUGAGUUCUCCCUGACCCUUUAAGGGUCCUGAAGGAACGUUGAAGACGACGACGUUGAUAGGCCGGGUGUGUAAGCGCAGCGAUGCGUUGAGCUAACCGGUACUAAUGAACCGUGAGGCUUAACCUU
rnacentral:rRNA from 2 species